AAUGCAAGUGUUUAACAGAUGCUUCACUAUUAAAAUAUUUUCCCCCCAAGUCUCAAAUAUUGAAGAAUCUCUAACCAGGGACACCAGUCCCUACGAAGACCUUGGGCGAUUUUGAAGUGCGGGCACCUCGAUUCCCCGAAUCUGUAGUGUGGCUGGUAUCGGUGUUCCCCUGGUUUAACUAGCCUGUUUGAUGGGGAAAUUGAGGCAGAGAAGCCAAGACAUGUGCUAAAGGUCAUGCAGGCUAUGAAUGGAGCUGGAAUGUGAACGCAGGCCAUAUGACCCCAGAGCCCAUGUUCUUGAACCCUUAGAAAGACAGCAGCAACACACCUGGUGCAGCAGCUGCUUAGUUGGAGUGGCUGACAAGGUUGGCAGAGGAUCCCGUUCCUCCCGUGGAGUGGCUGCCAUGAUACUGCCUGCACUGAAGCUGCUCCUAUUUCUGAAAUAUGUAUUGUUAUUUUUUUCCCUGCAUGUUGAACAUUAUACUCUUCUGUUCUUUCGCA
rnacentral:lncRNA from 10 species